GACGAACCGAGCGAACGUUGUUCGGAAUCACUGGGCUUAAAGGGCGCGUAGGCGGGUGACUAAGUCUGUGGUGAAAUCCGGCAGCUUAACUGUCGAAUUGCCAUGGAUACUGGUUGUCUCGAGGGAGGCAGGGGUGCGCGGAACUAAUGGUGGAGCGGUGAAAUGCGUUGAUAUCAUUAGGAACUCCGGUGGCGAAGGCGGCGCACUGGUCCUCUUCUGACGCUGAGGCACGAAAGCGUGGGGAGCAAACAGG
rnacentral:rRNA from 1 species